CCAAUAGCGUAUAUUAAAGUUGCUGCGGUUAAAAAGCUCGUAGUUGAAUUUCGGAAUUGAUGCAUCGGUCGUGCCUUAAAGGGCAUGAACUGGUGUAGCCAAUUUCUCACCUUCUGGUGAAUUGUUGAUGUUCUUAAUGGGUGUCUCAAUGAACUAGAAUUUUUUACUUUGAAAAAAUUAGAGUGUUUAAAGCAGGCAUUGAUUUGCUUGAAUACAUUAGCAUGGAAUAAUGAAAUAGGACAGUGGUUCAGUUUUGUUGGUUUCUAGGAUCACGUAAUGAUUAAUAGGGACAGUUGGGGGCAUUAGUAUUCAAUUGUCAGAGGUGAAAUUCUUGGAUUUAUUGAAGACUAACUAUUGCGAAAGCAUUUGCCAAGGAUGUUUUCAUUAAUCAAGAACGAAAGUUAGGGGAUCAAAGACGAUUAAGUACGUCGUAGUCCUAACCAUAAACUAUACCAACUAGGAAUCAGACGAUGUUAAUUUUUUAAUGACUCGUUUGGUACCUUACG
rnacentral:ncRNA from 2 species